rnacentral:rRNA from 1 species
AGGGUGAACGCUGGCGGCGUGCUUAAGACAUGCAAGUCGAACGAGAUCUUCGGAUCUAGUGGCGCACGGGUGAGUAUCGCGUGACUGACCUGCCCCAAAGUUCCGAAUAACUGGCUGAAAGGUCAGCUAAUACGGAAUGUGCAGCAUCCUCGUGUGGAUGUUGUAAAGGCUAUGACCGCUUUGGGAUGGGGUUGCGUUCCAUCAGCUAGUUGGUGGGGUAAAGGCCCACCAAGGCGACGACGGAUAACCGGCCUGAGAGGGUGGCCGGCCACAGGGGGCACUGAGACACGGGUCCCACUCCUACGGGAGGCAGCAGUUAGGAAUCUUCCCCAAUGGACGAAAGUCUGAGGGAGCGACGCCGCGUGAGGGAUGAAGGUUUUCGGAUCGUAAACCUCUGAAUCUGGGACGAAAGACCGGGACAACCGGAGAUGACGGUACCAGAGUAAUAGCACCGGCUAACUCCGCGCCAGCAGCCGCGGUAA